CGUGGCUUGUUCUCCAAGAGCCGGCCAGAAGAAGUUGCAGCAUGCAUAGAGCAGCCACCUCUAUGAUUGGAGUUUGAAAUUGGAGCAAAACCGCAGUUAUAGUUGUGCUAGAAAUCAAAUGUAAUGCCUCAGCGGCAAAGCCACAGUUAGCGGUGGCGGACCUUAGAGAUAACUGAAGGUUACAACUGGAGUUUGAAAAUCAACACAUUCAUUUUUAUACGAGACCUUAGCCCUCUUCUUAUGUUAGCUGAAAAGGACAGUGUACACCAUCCAAAGUGAGAAGGGAAGUCCAACCCCACUGACAUGUUUCAGUGUUUAAUCUCAAGGGUGAAUGACAUUCAUAAUUCAAGUGGGACUUCUUUGAGUAAUUUUCCUCAUCAUAUCAACCAUCAAGUCCAUCAGUUAAGAGUAAGGCAUGAAAGCUAGAGGAAAGAAGAUGAAAAGGGCACAGAACAGUUUCCAUGACUUGAAGGCCUUCUGGAAUAUUCCAUACUUCCAAUUAGGAGGACACUUUCCCUUCACUGGGGGCAAAGAUGGUGAUAUUAUGUACUGACAUCAGCAGAUGGUUGGAAGCUAUCCUGUGGACUUCAAGCUGCAGUGUUGCACUAUACCCAAAUUCCACUUUUACAGAGCCCCAGUAACAGGGCAUAACUACCCCUUUUCUAUUUUCAGGAACUGGGAUAAUGCUAGCUUUCCUAUAAGCAGUGGCCCUGAUCCCAAGGUACCUUCCAGAAUCAUAAUGAUUUCCAAAGUCCCUACUGAAAGCUCAGAGUUUCCAUAGUGUGGGCUGUGCCGAUCAGCAGCUCAUUGUAAAGAGCAUUCUGGUAAUGAUUCUCAUGGGUGCUUUAAUUGAUACAUUCUCCCACUGGAAUAUCUCAGCACAGUAUUCUAAUACACUCAAAUCAACAGGAACCUCUGGGGGAAAGUCACAGUAAAUUAAGUACAAUUAGCAGAGCAAACAUCUACACAACUAGCCUGCUAGUCUAGUAAUUAUGCAGUCAGCACUUAUUAUAUGGACCAUUUCUCAAAUCAGUGGUCUUUGAAAGUGAUCAUCAUGAUUCUAAACCAGGCUAGGCAAGAAGGGACUAAAAGGCCUAUCCUUUGAGCUGUUGCUCAGGCAUACAACUGUGUGGAUCUGAGGACUGGUGCAACACAGCAGUGACAUAAGCAAGUUCAGGAUUUUGUGGCAAUCCAGUAUGGUACGCUGACAUUGUUAUAACAGCAACCAUCACAGUUUGUAAAGCAUAUGGACUAUAUAUGGACUAUAUAUAGGGCAGUAAUAUAGCUGGAGAUUACUUACAUGGACACCCUUCUAAAGGCCUUUUGGCAAACAAUUGGCCAGUGAUGCAAUCUUGCAGGUAACAACUUAUUAUAAUGGAAUUGCAACCUUAAAUCCAUAAAAUCCCACAGGUAGCAAAGAUGAGAGCAAAUGGGAAUCAAACCCAAUCAUUCUCAAACCCUCAUGCUGAAAUGUGUACCAGUUACAGACAAGUUAUUAAUAAGAACAUUAAGAACCACCUAUGCUGAAUCAGUCCAGGGGUUCUAGAUAUAGUCCAGCACUUGUGUCCUGCAGUGGACAUCUAGACACUACUAGGAUGCUCACAAGCAGAGUAAGAUGGAGAUACAGUAGCCAUGCCUUAUUGCUUAAUCCUCAUCUAGUAAUAAAACAGAAAGAAGUCUAAUGAACUGGGGGAGGUAUUUAUUGUGGGGAGAGUUGCAAUAAGGACAUAAUGAAAGAGUUCCAGAAACCUAUCAGUAUUUACAAGAGGAGGCACCACUAGAUGGCAGGAAUUCUGUCCCUAUUUCAUCUGUUUUUCAGUAGUGAAAAUGCCACAGAAAUCAGCCCCCUUUUUUGUACCAUUUGACGUGAGGAAACACUUUGCACUACAGGAUGGUUGGAUCUCUUCAGGACCAUUGAAUGAUGCAUAUUUACGAAGAAGCUCUUAUCUUUAUAAUUUUUUUAAAACUCGUGUGCUGUUUCCAAAUGCAUAUCUCCCAUUCUGGGCUGAGGUAAUGAUAUAAUAUAAGUGUAUAUAAUAUAUAAUAUAUUAUAUAUGCUUUAUAUUAUACAAUAUAUAAGCUAACAUUAGAGAAAGAAACUCAGAAAAACACAGUUGGUAAAAUUACUCAUUGUGUAGAAUGAACAGAGCUGUCUUGUAUAAGACAAAAACUAUGAAAAAUACUAUUUUUACCUUGCAAAAUAUAUAUCCAUUCAUGCUAGGAAAGAAGAACCUGUUGAAUUUAUUUCUGCCUGCUAGGGCAUAGGAACCCUGUUAGUAUGGAGGUGGGGGAGUGCCAGGAACCAAGUAGAAUUUGUGUCCAGUUCAGACUUUAUAAGUAAGAUUAUCCAGCUAUUCUUUCCAGCUCUUUUUCCACCGCAUUGGAUUUAUUGCAUUUCUAAAGGACAAUGUGUUAAUUAACUAACCUCAAUGAGCAUUUCCUUUUUAGCAUAAAAAGCUAUUUUUUUAACUUAAUCAUGUGCAAUGUCAAGCAGCUAAAAAAGAAUAUGUUGAGAGGUUUGCCCUUGAUUAAAACAUAAAAAUGUGGCCAUAAAUAUUUUUUUAUUGGCUGUAAUACCUUUGCUUUAUUAGGAAGAUAACAGACUGCUGGUUAACUGAUCAUGAAAUAUUAAUUAAAAAGAAAAAUAUAUGGGA